rnacentral:misc_RNA from 1 species
AAUUAUUGCAGAGGACCAUUGAGGUAAAAGGUUUUGGACUUUGAGUUUUAUGGGGUUGUUUUGUUUCCAUGAUUAGAUGGCGCAUCCAGAUAUUGAUUUAUUGUUGAUUUGGUUAUUUGAUGCAUGCUACAUUUGGUUUGCUAAAUAGCACCAUUUCCGGUUCUUCAUUUUCUGAAACGAUGCAUCAUUUGAUUUCACUUAAUUAUUUCUUUAAUACAAUGAUGUAGGCUUGUUAUGGUUACUUAUGUUGGAGAUAUUAUCCCUCACCUACACUGAGCAGUUCCAUAACAUGGUAUUAGAUCCUCCAAUGCUUAAUGUCCCCCUCUUAUUAGUUAAAUUUCAACGCAUGCUAAGGUAGGCCUAUGCUUGUCCGUGCUCCAAGGGCGUUUUAGAGAUAAUAAAACUUAUUCUUGAAUCCUCACCUAUAAAAUUGAGCUUUUAGGUUGAGAGGUUCAAUGACAAGGAAAAAGAAAAUCUUGUUAAUGAUCAUAAUCUAACAUGACAUUAUGUUGGAUACCUUUUGAUGUUUAGUGAUAGAAGUUAGUUCAAUCCUUGACAGAUUACUGGAACUCUACUUCACAUGUGAAUCAAUGGUACAUACCUGAAUUGAUCGCAUGUUACACGAUGACUAAAUCCAUGGAAACUGUUGUUCAGAUAAACACGUGAGACUUGUCUAUCUUAUGCCCAGUUUGAAGGAAAUUGCAGAAAAUGGAUCUAUAAAUUCACCUUAUCUUUUUUUGUUACAUUUAACACUUGUCAUGAAGAAAUUAUUAUGAUUCUGAACAUGUAUUAUUUCAUCUAACCUUGAAAAUGGAAUAGGGCCUUUUCUUUCAUUUUUUAUGAGAUUCCUUUCUAAUGCGGUACACAAAUAACAAUCAGCAGUAAAGAAUGCCUAAUAUACUCUGGUCUUGGAUCUUUUAUAGUCAUUAAUAACUCUAGUGUUAAAUUUUCUUUUAUCUUUGAUGAGAUCUAUUUUUUUUUUCAAACUAAGCAACAAUGAGCUGUAGAGAAUGCAUUACUACCUGGGCUCUGGAAAGUUGGUUUGGAUGGUAUAUGCAUCCUAUCUCACAUGCUUUCUUGGCAUGCAUGUUUCUAAACUUUUUGAUUUCAUCUUUCCUAGAACCAUAGUUAUCAAAGGCUUAAGGCGCACCAAGGCGUCAAGAUGUCUUAGAGCCUAGGUGCAAGGCGCAGACGCAGGCACACGCCCGAGCGAGCCAAGGCACAAAAAUAAAAAAUAUACAUUAAAAAUAAAAAAAAAAUUAUA